rnacentral:rRNA from 1 species
UACGGAGGGUGCGAGCGUUGUCCGGAAUCAUUGGGCGUAAAGGGCGCGUAGGUGGCGGGACAAGCGUGCGGUGAAAGCCCGGAGCUCAACUCCGGGUCGGCCGUCGAUACUUCCGGGCUUGAGCACUGUAGAGGCAGAUGGAAUUCCGGGUGUAGCGGUGGAAUGCGUAGAGAUCCGGAAGAACACCGGUGGCGAAGGCGGUCUGCUGGGCAGUUGCUGACGCUGAUGCGCGACAGCAUGGGGAGCAACAGG